GUGCUCGCUGCGGCAGCACAUAUACUAAAAUUGGAAUGAUACAGAGAAAAUUAGCAUGGCCCCUGAGCAAGGAUGACACACAAAUUCGUAAAGUAUUCUGUAUUUUU
ensembl:snRNA U6 U6 spliceosomal RNA